CAUAUUCAGUCUCUUCAUGCUGUGUUGCUAUGCAACAGGCUCCUAUCGAAGCCGUCCAUGCUCUCUCGUAGCAGUGGACGGUCAACAGGAAGCCGAAAUGAAAACUUUCACCGACGGUCGCUGGUCAGUUCGACGGUGCCAGGCAAUGCUGAAGAUGGGAGGAUGGAGCCUGACAAUGACUGAAUCACAUGCAGGUGACCCGCAUGGCUGACUCUUGAAGACUGGAUGAGGACAUCUCAUGUUGAGGAAUCAUCUGCUCGUGAUCAGCGUGGCAUCCUUGGGCUGCUUCAGCUCUCAAACAGUCCUGGCUUGUGAAGGUCCAGUUGACAAGAAGCCUGAACAAGUGGAGGGACUGAGUCAUCUGGAAAGAUGGAGAAAUGUUUAGAAUCUACCAGCAUGUUUAAUUUGCUAUAGUGGUGCAAAGAACAAUAAACUUGUACUGACUUGAAUGUGCAGUAGGAACUUUCAUGUAUUUGUUACAUGAUUUGUA